rnacentral:rRNA from 1 species
AGAGUUUGAUCCUGGCUCAGAAUCAACGCUGGCGGCGUGCCUAACACAUGCAAGUCGAGCGCGAAAGGGGGGCAACUCCCAAGUAGAGCGGCGAACGGGUGAGUAACGCGUGGGUGAUCUACCUUCGAGUGGGGAACAACAGUGGGAAACUGCUGCUAAUACCGCAUGACAUCUUCGGGUCACAUCGAAGAUCAAAGCCGGGGACCGCAAGGCCUGGCGCUUGAAGAGGAGCCCGCGUCCGAUUAGCUAGUUGGCGGGGUAAUGGCCCACCAAGGCUCCGAUCGGUAGCCGGCCUGAGAGGGCGGACGGCCACACUGGGACUGAGACACGGCCCAGACUCCUACGGGAGGCAGCAGUGGGGAAUUUUUCGCAAUGGGCGAAAGCCUGACGAAGCAACGCCGCGUGGGGGAUGAAGGUCUUCGGAUCGUAAACCCCUGUCGACCGGGACGAAAGCACCCGACCUAACACGUCGGAGUGUUGACUGUACCGUGAGAAGCCCCGU